rnacentral:piRNA from 1 species
UUCUGCCUGCAGGAAGUUACUUCCAACCGU